CUACGAUCCGCUCCGACACGGAGGGGUCCUCCUAAGUGGCAGAAACACCUUCAUCUAGAAAAACUACCAUUAAGAAGCCCGAUGUUGCACAAGAAGCUGGCACCUCCUCGUCUCCAUGACACAGGGAGUGUUGGGCAAGGAUUCUGCAGCGGGCACGCGGUCCCCGUUGUCAGGCUUCAAAUCCUGGCUCUGCCUCUGCCUCAAGCAAUUAACUUUAACCUCCUUGAGCCCGUUUCCUGCACAGCAGGAAGAGGAUAAGGUGAUGGGGCCAAGUGCUGUGAUGACAGAAAGACUAGAUACGGAUCUCUCGGUUCUGUUAUCUACCACUUACUUAUGUAACCUAACCGUCCUGUGCCUCUGUGUUCUCCACUGUAAUGUGGAAAUCGUACAAUACCUACCCUGUGACAGGCUUGUGAAAAUAAAUAAGGAAAUAGGUUUGGGACCAGAGCCCAUUAGAUAGGCUGUAAAAUAGAAGAGGCUCCCACCAGAUGUCACGUCUCUUCCUUGUCCUUCCUCUGCCCGACUGCAUCUGAACGGGUACAGAUUCCUCUCCCUCUUUGGAACAGAACUUAUUUGAAGACUGUAAACUCCUGAUCCACCUGUCCACCUGAUCACCUGAGGCCAGGCACAGAGCCAAGCACAGAGCCUAGCACAGAGCACAGAGCCUAGAACAAAGGAGUCCUCAACAAAUACUUGCUGACUGAAUGUCUGAACGUAUUACUCACUGUCAGAAGGCAAAGCACCUCCUUACAAGGUAAUGUCGAAGCUACUAAAAAUUAAAAACUGGAAGUAAAUCAAUUACCCAUGAUACG